AUCAUCUUCAACACCAACAUGUUCGCUGUAGCUCUGCUGCUGUUGGUUGCUGGUUUCUGUGUGAAGUGUGAACAGCUGACACAGCCAGCCUCUGUGACUGUUCAGCCAGGUCAACAUCUGACCAUCAGCUGUCAGGUCUCUUAUUCUAUCAGCACCUACUGGACAGUUUGGAUCAGACAGACUGUUGGGAAAGGACUGGAGUGGAUUGGUGGAUCUGGAAUUGGACAUAUCACACUGUACAAAGAUUCACUAAAUAACAAGUUCAGCAUCACUUUAGAUGGCUCCAGUAAAACGGUGACCUUAAAUGGACAGAAUAUGCAGCCUGAAGACUCUGCUGUGUAUUACUGCGCCAGAAAGGACCACAGCUGCACAAACAGGCAGCAGAGCUGUACAAAGACCCCUCAGAGCCUGAGCAUAUGUACUAAUAAUUGA